CUCCCUGUGGCUCAGUUGGUAGAGCAUGGUGUUUGCAACGCCAGCAUGGUGUGUGCAAUGCCAGGGUUGUGGGUUUGAAUCCCAUGGGGGGC
rnacentral:tRNA from 1 species